GGGCGAAUGGUCUAGGGGUAUGAUACUCCCUUCGCAUCUCUGGAUAUCAGAGCUAGCUUGGGAGGGGUCCGGGGUUCAAUUCCCCGUUCGUCCA